rnacentral:rRNA from 1 species
AGAACGAACGCUGGCGGCAGGCCUAACACAUGCAAGUCGAACGCCCCGCAAGGGGAGUGGCAGACGGGUGAGUAACACGUGGGAACCUUCCUAUUAGUAUGGAAUAGACCAGGGAAACUUGGAUUAAUACCGUAUACGCCCUAAGGGGAAAGAUUUAUCGCUAAUAGAUGGGCCCGCGUAAGAUUAGCUAGUUGGUGAGGUAAUGGCUCACCAAGGCUACGAUCUUUAGCUGGUUUGAGAGAAUGAUCAGCCACACUGGAACUGAGACACGGUCCAGACUCCUACGGGAGGCAGCAGUGGGGAAUAUUGGACAAUGGGCGCAAGCCUGAUCCAGCCAUGCCGCGUGAAUGAUGAAGGCCUUCGGUUGUAAAGUUCUUUUAGUGAGAAAUAAUGAUGGUAUCACAGAAAAGCCCGGCUAACUUCGUGCCAGCAGCCGC